rnacentral:snoRNA from 1 species
AUGAUGACCUUUUGCUUUACUGAACACAUGAUGACCACGCCCUUCGCUGA